UACGUAGGGGGCAAGCGUUGUCCGGAUUUAUUGGGCGUAAAGAGCGUGUAGGCGGUUUGGUAGGUCCGUUGUGAAAACUCGAGGCUCAACCUCGGGCUUGCAGUGGAUACGGGCAGACUAGAGUGCGGUAGGGGAGACUGGAAUUCCUGGUGUAGCGGUGGAAUGCGCAGAUAUCAGGAGGAACACCGAUGGCGAAGGCAGGUCUCUGGGCCGCAACUGACGCUGAGGAGCGAAAGCAUGGGGAGCGAACAGG
rnacentral:rRNA from 1 species